rnacentral:rRNA from 1 species
UACGUAGGGGGCAAGCGUUGUCCGGAUUUAUUGGGCGUAAAGCGCGUGUAGGCGGCCAGAUAGGUCUGCUGUGAAAACUCGAGGCUCAACCUCGAGCUGUCGGCGGAAACCAUUUGGCUAGAGUCCGGAAGAGGAGAGUGGAAUUCCUGGUGUAGCGGUGAAAUGCGCAGAUAUCAGGAAGAACACCUAUGGCGAAGGCAGCUCUCUGGGACGGUACUGACGCUGAGACGCGAAAGCGUGGGGAGCGAACAGG